rnacentral:rRNA from 1 species
CUGCCCGUGGCAGGGGGAUAAGCGGGGGAAACCCCGUCUAAUACCGCGUAACGCGGCCUUGGGGCAUCCCAAGGCCGCCAAAGGGAGCAAUCCCGGCCACGGAUGGGCAUGCGGCGCAUUAGCUAGUCGGCGGGGUAACGGCCCACCGAGGCGACGAUGCGUAGGGGUUCUGAGAGGAAGGCCCCCCACACUGGUACUGAGACACGGACCAGACUCCUACGGGAGGCAGCAGUGAGGAAUAUUGGUCAAUGGGCGCGAGCCUGAACCAGCCAAGUCGCGUGAGGGAGGACGGCCCUACGGGUUGUAAACCUCUUUUGCCGGGGAGCAACGGGCGUCACGUGUGGCGCCACUGAGAGUACCCGGAGAAAAAGCAUCGGCUAACUCCGUGCCAGCAGCCGCGGUAAUACGGAGGAUGCGAGCGUUAUCCGGAUUUAUUGGGUUUAAAGGGUGCGUAGGCGGAUCGUUAAUUCAGUGGUCAAAUUGAGGGGCUCAACCCCUUCCCGCCAUUGAAACUGGCGAUCUUGAGUGGAAGAGAAGUAUGCGGAAUGCGUGGUGUAGCGGUGAAAUGCAUAGAUAUCACGCAGAACCCCGAUUGCGAAGGCAGCAUGCCGGCUUCCGACUGACGCUGAAGCACGAAAGCGUGGGGAUCGAACAGGAUUAGAUACCCUGGUAGUCCACGCGGUAAACGAUGA